rnacentral:rRNA from 1 species
AUUGAACGCUGGCGGCAGGCUUAACACAUGCAAGUCGAGCGAGCGGCGGACGGGUGAGUAAUGUCUGGGAAACUGCCCGAUGGAGGGGGAUAACUACUGGAAACGGUAGCUAAUACCGCCUACCAUCAGCUGUGCCCAGAUGGGAUUAGCUAGUAGGUGGGGUAAUGGCUCACCUAGGCGACGAUCCCUAGCUGGUCUGAGAGGAUGACCAGCCACACGGGAACGGAGACACGGUCCAGACUCCUACGCGAGGCAGCAGUGGGGAAUCUUUCACAAUGGGCGCAAGCCGGAUUGAGCCAUGCCGGGUGUGUGAAGAAGGCCUUCGGGUUGUAAAGCACUUUCAGCGAGGAGGCGUUACUCGCAGAAGAAGCACCGGCUAACGUCGUGCCAGCCGCCGCGGUAAUUC